UACGUAGGGCGCAAGCGUUGUCCGGAAUUAUUGGGCGUAAAGAGCUCGUAGGCGGUUUGUCGCGUCUGCUGUGAAAACCCGAGGCUCAACCUCGGGCCUGCAGUGGGUACGGGCAGACUAGAGUGCGGUAGGGGAGAUUGGAAUUCCUGGUGUAGCGGUGGAAUGCGCAGAUAUCAGGAGGAACACCGGUGGCGAAGGCGGGUCUCUGGGCCGAUACUGACGCUGAGGAGCGAAAGCGUGGGGAGCGAACAGG
rnacentral:rRNA from 1 species